rnacentral:tRNA from 2 species
UCGGGGAUCGUCCAACGGUAGGACACAGGAUUUUGGCUCCUGGAAUGAAGGUUCGAGCCCUUCUCCCCGAG